rnacentral:misc_RNA from 1 species
GAUGAAGAACGCAGCGAAAUGCGAUAAGUAAUGUGAAAUGCAGAAUUCAGUGAAUCAUCGAAUCUUUGAACGCACAUUGCGCCCCUUGGUAUUCCGGGGGGCAUGCCUGUUCGAGCGUCAUUAUAACCCCUCAAGCUCAGCUUGGUGUUGGGGCCUGCCAACUGGCAGCCCUUAAAAUCAGUGGCGGCGCCAUCUGGCUCUAAGCGUAGUAAUUUCUCUCGCUAUAGGGUCCCGGUGGAUGCUUGCCAACAACCCCCAAUUUUCUAUGGUUGACCUCGGAUCAGGUAGGGAUACCCGCUGAACUUAAGCAUAUCAAUAAGCGGAGGA